CUUCACUUAAAAGAACUGAAUUAGUGGGGUACGGGCGGGGGGGUGGUGUGGUUCAGUGUUAAACACUUUCAAGGCCCUGGGUUAGAUACCCAACACUGAGAAGAAAAAAAUACAAGUCUUACUUUGGGAGGCUACUCACCCUGUCUGCACCUUGGUCCUCUGCUCUAUAACAGUACUUUACUCAUGAUUAUUUAACUAAUGCCUUUAAUAUUACAUAGAAAGCUUAACCCAACGUUCAGGAGGCUGAGACAAAAGCAGACAGUGGAACCGAGUGCAAGCCCAGCCUGGGCUGUCUAUACAGGAAACUGUCUCAAAUACAGUGUGCUGGGGGCUGGGGAUUUAGCUCAGCAGCAUAAGCACCUGCCUUGCAAGCAGG
rnacentral:lncRNA from 1 species